ACACGACUACAUUAGAUACCCGGGUAGUCCCAGCCCUAAACGAUGCGCGUUAGGUGUAUCGGUGACCACGAGUCACCGAGGUGCCGAAGGGAAACCGUGAAACGUGCCGCCUGGGAAGUACGGUCGCAAGGCUGAAACUUAAAGGAAUUGGCGGGGAGCACCACAACGGGUGGAGCCUGCGGUUUAAUUGGACUCAACGCCGGGAAGCUCACCGGAUAAGACAGCGGAAUGAUUGCCGGGCUGAAGACUCUGCAUGACUAGCUG
rnacentral:rRNA from 1 species